rnacentral:misc_RNA from 1 species
UUUGAAUUGAGCGGCAACGUUCCUUUCACUCUGCACUACAUCAGCAUUAUUAGAGAGAAAGGUUGAAAAACCUCUAUCGACGGUGGUGGAAUUGCUGAGAAGUAACAGCAAUAAAUAAAACAUUCAAACCGAUAGAUGAGAGGUUCAAAAUCCAUCUAGUUAGUAGGGACUAAAAAACUACAAAUCAUAAACCCGAUCCGAUACCUAAGACUCCUU